AUACGGAGGGUGCAAGCGUUGUUCGGAAUCAUUGGGCGUAAAGCGCGCGUAGGCGGCUACUUAAGUCAGAUGUGAAAUCCCCGGGCUCAACCUGGGAACUGCAUCUGAUACUGGGUAGCUAGAGUUUUGGAGAGGGAAGUAGAAUUUCAGGUGUAGCGGUGAAAUGCAUAGAGAUCUGAAGGAAUACCAGUGGCGAAGGCGACUUCCUGGCCAAAAACUGACGCUGAGGUGCGAAAGCGUGGGUAGCAAACGGGAUUAGAAACCCCAGUAGUCC
rnacentral:rRNA from 1 species